CAGGCCUAACACAUGCAAGUCGAACGGCAGCACAGUGUGUAGCAAUACACAUGGGUGGCGAGUGGCGGACGGGUGAGUAAUACGUAGGAAUCUGCCUUGAAGCGGGGGACAACUCGAGGAAACUCGAGCUAAUACCGCAUAAUCUCUGAGGAGGAAAGUUGGGGCAACCUGACACUUUAAGAGGAGCCUACGUCCGAUUAGCUAGUUGGUAGGGUAAAAGCCUACCAAGGCGACGAUCGGUAACUGGUCUGAGAGGAUGACCAGUCACACUGGGACUGAGACACGGCCCAGACUCCUACGGGAGGCAGCAGUGGGGAAUAUUGGACAAUGGGGGCAACCCUGAUCCAGCGAUGCCGCGUGUGUGAAGAAGGCCUUCGGGUUGUAAAGCACUUUAGGUGGGGAAGAAGGUGUGGAGUUUAAGAGAUACUACAUUUGACGGUACCCGCAGAAUAAGCACCGGCUAACUCUGUGCCAGCAGCCGCGGUAAUACAGAGGGUGCGAGCGUUAAUCGGAAUUACUGGGCGUAAAGGGCGCGUAGGCGGUUAGAUAAGUGGGUUGUGAAAUCCCCGGGCUUAACCUGGGAAUGGCAAUCCAAACUGUAAGACUAGAGUACUGUAGAGGGUAGUGGAAUUUCCGGUGUAGCGGUGAAAUGCGUAGAGAUCGGAAGGAACACCCGUGGCGAAGG
rnacentral:rRNA from 1 species